rnacentral:rRNA from 1 species
UUUUGCCUACGGGGGGCAGCAGUGAGGAAUAUUGGUCAAUGGGAGAGAUCCUGAACCAGCCAAGCCGCGUGAGGGAAGACGGCCCUAUGGGUUGUAAACCUCUUUUGUCGGAGAACAAAACCCGGGACGAGUCCCGGACUGCGUGUAUCCGAAGAAAAAGCAUCGGCUAACUCCGUGCCAGCAGCCGCGGUAAUACGGAGGAUGCGAGCGUUAUCCGGAUUUAUUGGGUUUAAAGGGUGCGUAGGCGGGACGGUAAGUCAGCGGUAAAAAUGCGG